CGGAAAUUGAACGGAUGCUGUUUUCAAUGGCGCCGAAAGUUGAAAUAUCAAAGCUAAACUGUGUUACUAUAGCCCUCCUGACUAGUCUUCACUAAAACAACAAAACUUUCCCUUCUUUGUGUUGUAUCUCAUCGUCUCUGAAUCCACAAUUUGAAUGAACAGCAGCUGGUAUUGUAUGAUAAAUCAAAUCGUGUCUGUGUUUUGUCAUAGUAAGUAUGAACAGUGGAGGUCAAUCAGAAAUUACAUGGUAAGUAGUCCAUAUCUAACAACUGACUUAAUCACAUGCCUCACUUCAUGACCCAGCAGAUAGAUACAGUAGCUUAUUGUUUGAUGGAAUAUAUUUUUAGGCUUUUACAUCCCAUUUCUGACUCAGAACAAAAUAAAUAAUUUGAACUUCUUACUCAUAAUGAAUACAUUAACACACUACAGGAUAAUAUGCUACUGCAGUCCUAGAUAGGCGUAUCAUGCACUUUUUAUCCAUUGUGUGAGACUCGCGUCUCAUAUGAGACGUCCUUGUAAAUAUUGCAAUGUCUUCGCCUCCACUGAAGGACAGUAUUUAUUUCAGUUUUCCUUAUCUUUGCUGGAAUGUGUAAAAGAUUCUCCAGAACUAUACUCCCUAGCUGGACUUGACUUGGUGCUAAUUAGGAGGAAGACUCCCAACUCUUCAGUCCGAGAGGAAAGGAGGCUAUGGGAAUCUUGUUAAUCAUUAUUUAGUUGUGUGCUUGUAUAUUAACCCCAAAGGACAAAUACUCCAGUGAGUGUGGUAAAGUAAACUGUGCUAUAACACGUGACUGUGAGAGAGUUCCCAGUCUUAGCCAGAGGGAGAGUCUGUGUUGCUUUACUCAGUACUGCAUGUGUGUCAGUGAAGACUCAUUAUAUCAUCAUCACCAGUCAUCACCAGUACAUUGGACUUUAAUGUUCCCCUUAAUUGGAUUGCCCAUCCAUUUUGAUAGCAAAAUUGUUGCUCAGUUCACAGGUUCCCUUCAGAUGGUCUCACAGGAGUGAAAGUGUAGCCUAUAUUUUAACGAGAUAACUUUUAUGUCUUAAUUUUGCAUUUAGACUGCCAUCCCAUUACACAGUCUGACGUUCAGGGUCUCAUCUGUUUAUUUUACUGUGUAUGGCUGGGAGACUGACUGUGUCCUGACUUGUUAAUGUGGUCAUAUUGUUAACAGGAAAUCUAUUCGGGGGAAUUCUAUCCUGCUAGAGCCAGUGACUAAUGGUUAAAGAAGUACUGAAGCAAAAGUCACACAGUUACUUUGUUUAAAAUCCUUGAAGAAAAUAUCAUGAAUGACCAUUUUAAGAAGCUUGAAUUAUUCAUCAAAAACAGUUUACUGUUUCAGGUUUUCCAUAAGAACGUUGUCUCCCUUAUUCUAUGAGUGUAAACAAUCUAACAUGAUCUUUUUGAAGCAAUGAAACAGGGUUUUUCCACAGAUGCGUAAUGGUUUGAACAAGUCUAGCUGAUUUGUCAUGGCGGGUUCUGUCAAGGCCAUUGGCUGUCUGUCAUUUAUUAACCACUGUCAAUGUGUAAAGAAUGUAAUUGGUUUCGACCUUACUGUCCCUAUUGAAAUGAUAGAGGCUGAAACGUACGCAAAACGUUCAGGAAAUCCUUUUGAAAACAUUAUAAUAAACAAAGUCUUGUACA